AGAGUUUGAUCCUGGCUCAGAUUGAACGCUGGCGGCAUGCUUUACACAUGCAAGUCGAACGGCAGCGCGGGCUUCGGCCUGGCGGCGAGUGGCGAACGGGUGAGUAAUAUAUCGGAACGUACCCAUGGGUGGGGGAUAACGCAGCGAAAGCUGCGCUAAUACCGCAUACGAUCUAAGGAUGAAAGCGGGGGAUCGCAAGACCUCGUGCCCUUGGAGCGGCCGAUAUCUGAUUAGCUAGUUGGUGGGGUAAUGGCUCACCAAGGCGACGAUCAGUAGCUGGUCUGAGAGGACGACCAGCCACACUGGAACUGAGACACGGUCCAGACUCCUACGGGAGGCAGCAGUGGGGAAUUUUGGACAAUGGGCGCAAGCCUGAUCCAGCAAUGCCGCGUGAGUGAAGAAGGCCUUCGGGUUGUAAAGCUCUUUUGUCAGGGAAGAAACGGGAGUGGCUAAUAUCCAUUCCUAAUGACGGUACCUGAAGAAUAAGCACCGGCUAACUACGUGCCAGCAGCCGCGGUAAUACGUAGGGUGCAAGCGUUAAUCGGAAUUACUGGGCGUAAAGCGUGCGCAGGCGGUUUUGUAAGUCUGAUGUGAAAUCCCCGGGCUCAACCUGGGAAUUGCAUUGGAGACUGCAAGGCUGGAGUCUGGCAGAGGGGGGUAGAAUUCCACGUGUAGCAGUGAAAUGCGUAGAGAUGUGGAGGAACACCGAUGGCGAAGGCAGCCCCCUGGGUCAAGACUGACGCUCAUGCACGAAAGCGUGGGGAGCAAACAGGAUUAGAUACCCUGGUAGUCCACGCCCUAAACGAUGUCUACUAGUUGUCGGGUUUUAAUUAACUUGGUAACGCAGCUAACGCGUGAAGUAGACCGCCUGGGGAGUACGGUCGCAAGAUUAAAACUCAAAGGAAUUGACGG
rnacentral:rRNA from 1 species